rnacentral:rRNA from 1 species
AACGAACGCUGGCGGCAUGCCUAACACAUGCAAGUCGAACGAGACCUUCGGGUCUAGUGGCGCACGGGUGCGUAACGCGUGGGAACCUGCCCUUAGGUUCGGAAUAACUCCCCGAAAGGGGUGCUAAUACCGGAUAAUGUCUUCGGACCAAAGAUUUAUCGACUUUGGAUGGGCCCGCGUUGGAUUAGCUAGUUGGUAGGGUAAAAGCCUACCAAGGCGACGAUCCAUAGCUGGUCUGAGAGGAUGAUCAGCCACACUGGGACUAAGGCACGGCCCAGACUCCUACGGGAGGCAGCAGUGGGGAAUAUUGGACAAUGGGCGAAAGCCUGAUCCAGCAAUGCCGCGUGAGUGAUGAAGGCCUUAGGGUUGUAAAGCUCUUUUACCCGGGAUGAUAAUGACAGUACCGGGAGAAUAAGCUCCGGCUAACUCCGUG